rnacentral:rRNA from 1 species
UGGAGAGUUUGAUCCUGGCUCAGGAUGAACGCUAGCGGCAGGCCUAAUACAUGCAAGUCGAACGGUGUAGCAAUACACAGUGGCGCACGGGUGCGUAACACGUAUGCAACCUACCUAUCAUUGGGGGAUAGCCUUUGGAAACGGAGAUUAAUACCGCAUAAGACAGUAACAUGGCAUCAUGUAGCUGUUAAAGCUUCGGCGAUGAUAGAUGGGCAUGCGUCCAAUUAGUUAGUUGGUGAGGUAAUGGCUCACCAAGACGAUGAUUGGUAGGGGAUCUGAGAGGAUAAUCCCCCACACUGGCACUGAGAUACGGGCCAGACUCCUACGGGAGGCAGCAGUAGGGAAUAUUGGGCAAUGGACGGAAGUCUGACCCAGCCAUGCCGCGUGCAGGAUGAAGGCGUUAUGCGUUGUAAACUGCUUUUUUAUAGGAAGAAGGAGACCUUGCGAGGUUUGGUGACGGUACUAUAAGAAUAAGCACCGGCUAACUCCGUGCCAGCAGCCGCGGUA